rnacentral:rRNA from 1 species
CACCGGCGGCCCGAGUGGUAACCGUUUUUAUUGGGUCUAAAGGGUCUGUAGCCGGCCAAGUAAGUCCUUUGGGAAAUCUGGUAGCUCAACUAUCAGGCUGCCAGGGGAUACUGCUUGGCUUGGGACCGGGAGAGGUGAGAGGUACCUCGGGGGUAGGGGUGAAAUCUUGUGAUCCUCGAGGGACCACCAGUGGCGAAGGCGUCUCACCAGAACGGGUCCGACGGUAAGGGACGAAAGCUAGGGGCACGAACCGGAUUAGAUACCCGGGUAGUCCUAGCCGUAAACGAUGCUCGCUAGGUGUCAGUCACGGUGCGACCGUGAUUGGUGCCGUAUGGAAGCCGUGAAGCGAGCCACCUGGGAAGUAUGGCCGCAAGGCUGAAACUUAAAGGAAUUGGCGGGGGAGCACUACAACGGGUGGAGCCUGCGGUUC